rnacentral:misc_RNA from 1 species
UCUCCGUUGGUGAGCCAGCGGAGGGAUCAUUAUCGAGUUUAUAACUCCCAAACCCUAUGUGAACUUACCACUUGUUGCUUCGGCGCGCGCUUCGGUGCCGCCGAGGACACUUAAACUCUUUGUUUUUAUAAGCAUUUCUGAGUGGCCGAAAGGCAAAAUACAAAUGAAUCAAAACUUUCAACAACGGAUCUCUUGGUUCUG